rnacentral:lncRNA from 1 species
UUCUCCUGCUGCAAUCUCCCCACUUCUUUCUGAUGAAUCUUCAUCUGCCUGAAGUAGUGAUCUCUCUCUGCCAUGUAAUGAUCUCUCUCGGCGACGAUCUUUGCUUUCUCCGCUUCCCACUCUGCAGCAAGGCUCCGGGCUCUAGCAUCUCUCUGAUCCUUCACGAGAAUCUGCCUCCGCUUCUCAUCCUCAAUGAUCUGUGAAGCUCUAGCCAAUCUCUCUUUGGUGAUGUCGUGCUCUCUGGUAGAUGAUGCUAAUGCCUGAUUAACCUUCCCAUAGUAGGUUGUAUCCAUCUCAAAGCGCUUGGCUUCCAAGGCAUGUCGCUUGUCUUGAUCUUCCAUCUUC